GACGAACGCUGGCGGCGUGCUUAACACAUGCAAGUCGAACGGAGCGAAUGAAAGCUUGCUUUUAUAAGCUUAGUGGCAAACGGGUGAGUAACACGUAGGCAACCUGCCGACAGGAUGGGGACAACAUUCCGAAAGGAAUGCUAAUACCGAAUGAAGUCAGAGAAGGGCAUCCUUUUCUGAUGAAAGAUGGCCUCUGAAUAUGCUAUCACCUGUCGAUGGGCCUGCGUCUGAUUAGCUGGUAGGUGAGGUAACGGCUCACCUAGGCGACGAUCAGUAGCCGGUCUGAGAGGAUGAACGGCCACAUUGGGACUGAGACACGGCCCAGACUCCUACGGGAGGCAGCAGUGGGGAAUCUUCCGCAAUGGGCGCAAGCCUGACGGAGCAACGCCGCGUGAGUGAAGAAGGUCUUCAGGACUCGUAAAGCUCUUUU
rnacentral:rRNA from 1 species